GACGAACGCUGGCGGCGUGCCUAAUACAUGCAAGUCGAACGAGAGCGACCGGUGCUUGCACUGGUCAAUCUAGUGGCGAACGGGUGAGUAACACGUGGGUAACCUGCCCAUCAAAGGGGGAUAACAUCCGGAAACGGAUGCUAAAACCGCAUAGGUCUUCGAACCGCAUGGUUUGAAGAGGAAAAGAGGCGCAAGCUUCUGCUGAUGGAUGGACCCGCGGUGCAUUAGCUAGUUGGUGAGGUAACGGCUCACCAAGGCCGUGAUGCAUAGCCGACCUGAGAGGGUGAUCGGCCACAUUGGGACUGAGACACGGCCCAAACUCCUACGGGAGGCAGCAGUAGGGAAUCUUCCGCAAAGGACGCAAGUCUGACGGAGCAACGCCGCGUGAGUGAAGAAGGUUUUCGGAUCGUAAAACUCUGUUGUUAGAGAAGAACAAGUGCUAGAGUAACUGUUAGCGCCUUGACGGUAUCUAACCAGAAAGCCACGGCUAACUACGUG
rnacentral:rRNA from 1 species